AUUGAACGCUGGCGGCAGGCCUAACACAUGCAAGUCGAGCGAGCGGCGGACGGGUGAGUAAUGUAUGGGGAUCUGCCCGAUAGAGGGGGAUAACUACUGGACACGGUGGCUAAUACCGCAUACUAUCGGAUGAACCCAGCUGGGAUUAGCUUGUGGGUGGGGUAAAGGCUCACCGAGGCGACGAUCUCUAGAUGGUCUGAGAGGAUGACCAGCCACACUGGUACUGAGACACGGCCCAAAAUCCUACGGGAGGCAGCAGUGGGGAAUAUUGCACAAGGGGCGCAAGCCUGAUGCAGCCAUGCCGCGGGUAGGAAGAAGGCCUUAGGGUUAUAAAGUACUUUCAGCGGGGAGGCGUUACCCGCAGAAGAAGCACCGGCUAACUCCGUGCCAGCAGCCGCGGUAAUAC
rnacentral:rRNA from 1 species